AACGAACGCUGGCGGCAUGCCUAACACAUGCAAGUCGAACGAGACCUUCGGGUCUAGUGGCGCACGGGUGCGUAACGCGUGGGAACCUGCCCUUAGGUUCGGAAUAACUCCCCGAAAGGGGUGCUAAUACCGGAUAAUGUCUUCGGACCAAAGAUUUAUCGCCUUUGGAUGGGCCCGCGUUGGAUUAGCUCGUUGGUAGGGUAAAAGCCUACCAAGGCGACGAUCCAUAGCUGGUCUGAGAGGAUGAUCAGCCACACUGGGACUGAGACACGGCCCAGACUCCGACGGGAGGCAGCAGUGGGGAAUAUUGGACAAUGGGCGAAAGCCUGAUCCAGCAAUGCCGCGUGAGUGAUGAAGGCCUGAGGGUUGUAAAGCUCUUUUACCCGGGAUGAUAAUGACAGUACCGGGAGAAUAAGCGCCGGCUAACUCCGUG
rnacentral:rRNA from 1 species